CUCGGGAUGCGACACGUGUCAGGUCAUUUUAUAACACUAUCAAGUAUCAAGUCGGAUUGUUAAAUUCCAGCGGUCAACAAGCAGGAGCUCUUCAAGUGAUUCGACUGGAACCGAUCGAACACACAAAAACAAAAAGCAACAGCAGAAAGGGAAGAAUUAAUGCCUAGUAUGAUCGCAGUUACGACAACAGAAUUAGAUGAACGACAACGAGAACCCCUUCUACACAAUCCCCGUUCUCUUUCCAAUGAAGAAGAAGAAGAGAUCACCAACACGCCUUCAACCUCAUCAUCCAACGCAUCGCCACCACCAACUCAACGCCUCCUUUCUCUCGACGUUUUCCGUGGCCUUACCGUCGCUCUCAUGAUUUUAGUUGAUGAUGCUGGUGGAGCUUUUCCUUGUAUUAAUCACUCUCCGUGGUUUGGUGUGACGCUUGCCGAUUUUGUGAUGCCUUUUUUCCUCUUUGUUGUUGGUGUCUCUAUCAGUUUAGUUUUUAAGAAAGUAUCUAGCAAACCAAUGGCCACAAAAAAAGUCAUACUGAGGACUAUCAAACUAUUUCUUCUGGGAUUAUUGUUGCAAGGUGGGUAUUUCCAUGGACGCCACGAUUUAACAUACGGGGUUGAUGUGAGCAAGAUACGUUGGAUGGGCGUGCUACAGAGGAUAUCCAUUGGAUAUCUCUUUGCUGCAAUGUCAGAGAUCUGGCUUGUGGACAGUAUCAUGGUCGACUCACCUAUGGCUUUUGUGAAGAAAUGCUACAUCCAAUGGAUGGUUGCUUUCUUAUUUUGCACAUUUUACAUGUGCUUGCUGUAUGGCCUUUAUGUUCCAGACUGGGAAUUCGAAGUUCCAAGUACAAAUCUGUUUGGAUAUGAAUUCGGUACUAAAAUUGUGAAUUGUGGAGUGAAGGGCAGUCUUGAACCUCCUUGUAAUGCAGUUGGUCUGAUUGACCGAUUUUUUUUUGGUGAACAUCAUCUAUAUCAACAUCCUGUGUAUAGAAGAACAAAGCAUUGUAGUGUUAAUUCUCCUGACUACGGACCUCUGCCACCAAAUUCACCUGGGUGGUGCCUUGCUCCAUUUGACCCAGAGGGCAUCUUGAGUUCUUUGAUGGCUGCUAUUACAUGUUUUCUUGGAUUGCAGUUUGGUCAUAUCCUUGUUCAUUUCAAGGGCCACAUGCAAAGGCUGUGUUUGUGGUCUGUGUGUUCUUUCAUCAUACUAAUUACUGGAUAUGUUUUUGAACUUCUGGGCGUUCCUCUUUGUAAACCAUUAUAUACGUUGAGCUAUAUGUGCAUUACAGCUGGAGCAUCAGGCUUGGCUUUAACGAUCAUCUUUUACAUAGGAACAUAAGCAGGUCAAGAGAGCUUGAUUUUUCUUGUUAUAAUUUCUAAGCAUCUUCCUGUCCUCAAAUUCAUGGAACAUGGUAAAUUUGAUUCUCAUGUGGAGCUUUGGAAUUAUCUUGGCUUUUAAGAUCGGGGAAGAAAUAGCCUUUUGAGGAUGUAGCGAAUUUCCAUGCCAGCUAUAGGGGAUUGGCUAAAUCUUGGAUCAUUUUUGGGUGGUUGACAAUAUCAGAGUUUUAAUCUUUUCUUAUGACACGGCGUGCUUUUCAUGCCAUGGAGAUGUUGGAACUAUACAACUCUCAGUCCUAUUGUUUUGUUAUCCCCUUCCUUUUCUUUUCCUAUUUUGACCCUGCUCGGGGGAUGUGUGUUGUAUGCAAUUGAGAGGUUAUUGAAAACUAAAAGGAGAUUGGCGUGAAAGAAUUGUUUCAGUUCAAACAAUUUUAUGCAGGUUGAUGUCAAGCAUUUUAGAAAGCCCACGAUGAUACUUCAGUGGAUGGGAAUGAAUGCACUCAUCAUUUAUGCGCUGGCUGCCUGUGACCUUUUCCCAGCAGCCAUUCAAGGUUUCUAUUGGGGCUCACCAGAAAACAAUUUGGUUGAUGAUACAGAAUCGCUGUUCCAAGUCAUGCUCCAUUCAAAGAAGUGGGGCACCCUUGUUUUUGUAAUUAUGGAGAUUUUAUUCUGGGGCCUUGUGGCUGGUUUCCUACAUUUGAAAGGCAUUUAUGUGAGACUCUGAAAGUAUUGUAGAUGCUGCUUUUCCCUGUGCAAGACUGUAAAUUCUACCUUGUGAAUAAAAUAAAAUUUAAUGCGUGUAACCAGCAGCAUUGUUAUUCCUUCAACAGCGCCUUUUUGUUCA